rnacentral:lncRNA from 1 species
GAAUUCCCCCCUAGCUAAGGGGGGUUUAGUUCCUCAUACUUACAAAGCAAAGAUAAAGAAAUUUAGACAUUGAAAACAAAAGAAAGAAAACACCUAAAAAUGCUCCAACAAUCCAACUUGAAUGGCAAGCACGUCCAAGGGUCCUCCUUCUUGUCUUUGUUGCGGCACAAGGUGUGGUUUGAUGGAUGAGUGGUAAAUUAUGGUGGUGGAUGUAUAUAGGUGAGUUAUGGUGAAGGGUGGAUGGGUGGAUUAUGUUCUCUCUGGUUUUUUUCCCCCUUGUUAUGGUGAAGGGUGGAUGUAUUUAUAGGCUAGGGAGAGGACCACCAUCUAAUUAAGGUGGUAGUGAUGAGUGUUGUGGUAAUGAGUGGAUGUAAUGGGUGUAGUUUUGGUAAUGAGUGGAUGUAAUGGGUGUAGUGGAUGGAUGUUUGGUAAUGAGUGGAUGUAAUGGGUGUAGUGGAUGAGUGUUUGUAGUUGUAGGUCAACACAUUUGCACACACACAUGCUGAUUUCUAGCCUUCUAAUCUUAAAAAACAUCCAUCCUCAUGUCUCCAUGCUUGCAUUAUCUAAUCUUGGCCCAAAAAUGCUCCAAAGUGCUCCAAAUAGCACUUUGUUGCCAACUUUGUUAUUUGAACCUACAAACACACGAAAAUAGCUUAAAGUACUAAAAUAACUAGAAUUAAACUAAGUAAAUGCCAACAAACAAGCUCACUAAGUUCCAUAAAUAUGCUCCUAUCAAAUUCCCCCACACUUAGCUUUUGCUAGUCCUCGAGCAAAACAAAAGAAACAAAACAAAACAAAACAAACAAAACACAACCUAACCUUCCAACAUUUGCCUCAGGGAUUUCCAAUGCACAUGACAUGUUAAAAAUCAUCAUUCCCACAGAUUUUGGUUAUCUUCACACUUGAGCACAAACUGAAUCACAGUCACUACUUACUAGUUCACAAUUAACCAAUUAAAACAAUGUUUUGAAUGUAGUAACAUGCCUUAGAGAAUUUGCUCGAUUCCUUACAAGAUACUAUCUAUUUUCACACACAUUUUCUGACUACAUACCCUACACUAGUAUAUGUGAGAAGAUUAAUGUAAACACGAAAGACUAUGAGUAACAUAUGUUAUAACAAAGAAAGCAAUUUUCUAGAGUUAUUAAGCAUGUUUAGAUAUGAUCUCAUGAAUGGAAUGCUACUACUUAGAUGCGAGAACCAGUGACACCAUAUGCUCAUACCAAUUUCGAACUCCAUAAAUUGAAACACACAACACUCAAGAUUGAAGUCAAGGGUUGUAACAGGGCUUGGGGGUAAUGACUAAUAAAGAAAGGAUAGGAAUAACAAACGUUCUUAAAGCGAUAGCAAGUAAAGCAAUGAAAUAGACACUUGGAAUUCACUUUAGAAUGCAUAAUCAACUUUUAAAUACAAAGGGAAGAUUCAUGUAACACUUAGGGCCGAAUUUAAUGUUUUGGACCCUUUUUUUAACAAACUUUUUUCUUUUCACUCUUUUUUUUUUUUUUUCUACCCGUGCCUUAUUAAGGACUUUGGCACACACACACACACACACAAUAAUCACUUCCCCCACACUUGCUUUCUGCAAUACAUUGAUCAAAAAGGAGUUCAUUUUAAGUCAUGCUUUACUAUGCUUCAAGAACAAGGGUAUGGAUGGUCCUAAAACUAGGCUAGGUAAGGAUAGUGUGGAUUAACAAAGAACAUAGGCUUAACAAGGCUCAACGGGGUUAAACUUAAACACAUAAUGAAAUAAGGGCACGGCAAUUUGGCUUUGGUGGUCACUACACAACUUCAUCUUGAAAAUGUGUUAUGCAAAUCAAUAGCAUGUUUUGAAUGAAAUAGGCAUGAGUUCUAGCAUUUGGAACUAAAUGAUGAAACACCUUCUAAGUAGCAACAAGCAAAGAAUAAUGAGAUCAUGCAACGACUUUAGAAAACAAUGAUGCAUAGAUUAUUAACUCUCCAAAUAAACGUUUAGGCUCAAGUCUCACAAGGUUGUAUCAUACAUUUGAGUUCCUU